GUGGGGAAUAUUGGACAAUGGGCGAAAGCCUGAUCCAGCCAUGCCGCGUGAGUGAUGAAGGCCUUAGGGUUGUAAAGCUCUUUCAGUAGGGAAGAUAAUGACGGUACCUACAGAAGAAGCCCCGGCUAACUUCGUGCCAGCAGCCGCGGUAAUACGAAGGGGGCUAGCGUUGUUCGGAUUUACUGGGCGUAAAGCGCACGUAGGCGGAUUGGUCAGUUAGAGGUGAAAUCCUGGAGCUCAACUCCAGAACUGCCUUUAAUACUGCCAGUCUAGAGUCCAGAAGAGGAGAGUGGAACUCCUAGUGUAGAGGUGGAAGUCGUAGAUAUUAGGAAGAACACCAGUGGCGAAGGCGGCUCACUGGUCUGGUACUGACGCUGAGGUGCGAAAGCGUGGGGAGCAAACAGGAUUAGAUACCCCUGUAGUCC
rnacentral:rRNA from 1 species